AAGUGAGGUGUGUCUGUAGUAGAGGAAGACAGUGAGGUGUGUCUGUAGUAGAGGAAGACAGUGAGGUGUGUCUGUAGAGAGGAAGACAGUGAGGUGUGUCUGUAGUAGAGGAAGACAGGAGGUGUGUCUGUAGUAGAGGAAGACAGUGAGGUGUGUCUGUAGUAGAGGAAGACAGUGAGGUGUGUCUGUAGUAGAGGAAGACAGUGAAGGGUGUCUGUAGUAGAGGAAGACAGUGAGGU